AUGGCAGCGCAGUCCGACUCUGCGGUCGAAGAUGAGAACCACCUGGGAGACGGCGGUAAGAAGGGGGCCGCAGGGAGUGGAAGUGGAAGCCAGGGGCGGGAGGGAGCAGAUGGGGAGUACCAUGCUUGGGGACCUCCCGCAAGUCUUGAGGAUAGAUUUGAAGGUCUGCACCUACGUGGAGAGGAGGAAGUUGAACUCGAUUUCAGUGCUGAAUUUGAAGAUCUAGUCAAGGACAUUAGGUGGCUGGCGAUAUUCAGAGUUCAUACAACUCGUCAGUUCAGCCAUUCAGCUCUGUACAACGCGAUGCGCACGGCAUGGUCGUCGUCCCAACAAGUUAUCUUCAAACCAAAGGGUGUCAACCUGUUCAUUGCACAAUUUAGUUGUUUGGGGGAUUGGAAGAGGGUGAUGGACAGUGGCCCCUGGUUGUUCAGGAACGCGGCUGUUGUGAUCCAGGAAUACGACGGGUUUAGCAAUGUUAAUGAAUACAAGCUGGAUAAGAUCCCAGUUUGGGCAAGAAUUGAAGGGGUGCCCGAGGGUUUGAUGCGGAAGAAAGAGCUAGCAGAGAAGGUAGCCCGCAAGGCAGGGGAACCGCCAAUAACGGUGGUAGUGAAUGAAGGCUUCAUCAAUACCGCCAAAUUUCUUAGGGCCAGAGUGUUUCUUGAUGUUCAUGUGCCUCUGGUCAGGUUUGUGCCCAUAACCUUGAAGGAGAGGAAAAAGUACCCAGUUUACUAUGAAAAGCUUCCCGACUUUUGCUACUUUUGUGGCCUGAUGGGGCACCAAGUGGAGGAGUGCAGGGAUGGUGUGCACGAUCCUACUGCUUGUGAACGGGGAGAAUGGCUUUUGUGGAACUUUGAAAAUACUAUGCCAAAAUAG
rnacentral:rRNA from 1 species